rnacentral:misc_RNA from 1 species
AAGUCGUAACAAGGUUUCCGUAGGUGAACCUGCGGAAGGAUCAUUAACAAAUUUCCAUUGUUUAUGGGAUUUAUUCCAUAUCAACCUUGUGUGCACCUAUUAAUUGUCUCUGGUGGGUCCUUUGUUCUGAAGGGUUCUUUUCUUGCUUUUGCCUUGGUAGUCUUUGCUUGCUUUGAAGUCUUUCAUUAGACUCUGGAGUUUGGAAAAAUUGCUUGGGUUAUAGCAAAAGAGGAGCCUUCCAGUUCCAAGUCCACCAAAGGUUCAACCCCUGAGUAUUUCUGUUUUCUACUGAAGUAAUAAAUUAUUAUAAUUUAAAAACAACUUUUGACAACGGAUCUCUUGGCUCUC